CCGCGCUCAGCCCUCCGCCCGGAGCCUGGAGCCCGGGCAGCGCCACCAAGCGGAGGGAAAAGCGCGGGCGGAGCUGAGGGGAGAGGCGGGGCGGGAAGUUGUCCUGGCGCCGAGCUGCGCUUGUGUGGGGAUGGCGCCGAGGGCUGUCGGGAGGUGAGCAGGGAAGGAGGGAUGAGCUGUGGCGCUCGUUUUUCUCGUCAGGAAGUCCGUGCAGAUGGCAUGGUUCUAGUUUACAAAUUGCUCAAACCCGUUUCUUGCCAGUAGGGAGAGGUAAUGUGAGUUACAUUUUCUUACUGCUCAUUUUGAGGUACCAUUCAGAUCUGUGCAUGUGCUGAGCACUCACAGGUCUUCACGAAAGGAGCUUUAGUUUCAGUGCAGAAAAUGCUUUACUAUGCUGAAAU
rnacentral:lncRNA from 1 species